rnacentral:lncRNA from 1 species
AAAAAAACGGAUGUCCAACGUUACAUUUAUGAAAAACUGUUUAAACUCUUAUGUAUAGUGAUCCUAUUUCUCAUUCUCUGAUCUUCUUGAUUCUUGGCAGGAACAACGACAGGUGUCGAUUUUUGUGGCGUUAAAGCCGUUAUUUUACCAAAUUGUAUUUGACUCGGUGGCUGCAUAUUAUGCUGGAAUAGGAAAACUGUCCGACGUUUUUCGUUAACUCAACGACUGAAAGUAGAUAUAGCAGAAAAUGAAUAAAAAGAGUAAGACAAUUAUAAUAAUAUCUAACAAAAGUACAAAUAUUUGCCUCAUGUGAGU